rnacentral:rRNA from 1 species
CGUAGGGUGCGAGCGUUAAUCGGAAUUACUGGGCGUAAAGGGUGCGCAGGCGGUUAUGAAAGACAGGCGUGAAAUCCCCGGGCUUAACCUGGGAACUGCGUUUGUGACUACAUGACUCGAGUACGGCAGAGGGGGGUGGAAUUCCACGUGUAGCAGUGAAAUGCGUAGAGAUGUGGAGGAACACCGAUGGCGAAGGCAGCCCCCUGGGCCAGUACUGACGCUCAUGCACGAAAGCAUGGGGAGCAAACAGGAUUAGAUACCCUGGUAGUCCACGCCCUAAACGAUGUCAACUAGUUGUUGGUAGGGUAAAACCUAUUAGUAACGUAGCUAACGCGUGAAGUUGACCGCCUGGGGAGUACGGCCGCAAGGUUA